AACAGGAUUAGAUACCCUGGUAGUCCAUGCCGUAAACGAUGUGUGCUAGGUGUUGGAGGGUUUCCGCCCUUCAGUGCCGCAGCUAACGCAUUAAGCACUCCGCCUGGGGAGUACGACCGCAAGGUUGAAACUCAAAGGAAUUGACGGGGGCCCGCACAAGCGGUGGAGCAUGUGGUUUAAUUCGAAGCUACGCGAAGAACCUUACCAGGUCUUGACAUCUUGCGCUAACCUAAGAGAUUAGGCGUUCCCUUCGGGGACGCAAUGACAGGUGGUGCAUGGUCGUCGUCAGCUCGUGUCGUGAGAUGUUGGGUUAAGUCCCGCAACGAGCGCAACCCUUGUUACUAGUUGCCAGCAUUCAGUUGGGCACUCUAGUGAGACUGCCGGUGACAAACCGGAGGAAGGUGGGGACGACGUCAGAUCAUCAUGCCCCUUAUGACCUGGGCUACACACGUGCUACAAUGGCCGGUACAACGAGCAGCUAACCCGCGAGGGUGUGCAAAUCUCUUAAAGCCGGUCUCAGUUCGGACUGCAGUCUGCAACUCGACUGCACGAAGUCGGAAUCGCUAGUAAUCGCGGAUCAGCAUGCCGCGGUGAAUACGUUCCCGGGCCCUGUACACACCGCCCGUCACACCAUGGAAGUUUGCAAUGCCCAAAGUCAGUGGCCUAACCAUCUUGGAGGGAGCUGCCUAAGGCAGGGCAGAUGACUGGGGUGAAGUCGUAACAAGGUAACC
rnacentral:rRNA from 1 species